rnacentral:lncRNA from 1 species
UUUGCCAAACGAUGAAAAUUCGGUGAGGGAUCAUCGGGGAAGUUGAUCGGAGUUGUUUCGGUCAUCUGAGUUGGCUAUACACGUUGGCAUUUUGAAAUGUUCUGAUUGGUCUAUUUUGAAUGUGAUUCUGUUUUUUAUUCUGGCUAUUUUCCAAUGGCGCCCUAGCUUGAUAGUUGUUGGGUCUGUCACGUCAAUUAAUGAGGCCAGAUCCGAAACCUCAGUUUUUUUUAAUUUCUUUUUCUUUUUUAUUUUAAAUUGUAUUUUCUUAAAAAUUCAUAGUAAAUUCAUUUUUCAACCAAAAAAUACCAAAAUAAUUUCUAAAAUUUUCUUUAUCUUAUUUUUAUUUUUCCAUAUUUUAUUUUCUUGAUUUUCUAUUUUUCUUGGAUUUUCUCCUUUUUCAUUUGUUUUAAUUGGUUUAAAAAUACUUUUAUGCAUUUAAAAAUUCUGAAAAAUUUAUUUUACAUUACUUAUUCUAUCUCCAACCUUCCAUAAUUUUCUUGGCCAUUUAUUUGGUGUUUUGAAGGGCUUUGUGGAUUUUCUCUUUUAUUUCGCUUUUAAAAUUCAUUUUAAAAAUAUUUUUGAUCAUUUUAUUUUAUUUUCUUGCAUUUUAUGUUUGUUUGACCAUUGUUGACUUCUGCUGGCGUUGGAUAUUG